GAUGAACGCUGGCGGCGUGCCUAAUACAUGCAAGUCGAGCGAACAGACGAGGAGCUUGCUCCUCUGGCGUUAGCGGCGGACGGGUGAGUAACACGUGGAUAACCUACCUAUAAGACUGGGAUAACUUCGGGAAACCGGAGCUAAUACCGGAUAAUAUAUUGAACCGCAUGGUUCAAUAGUGAAAGACGGUUUUGCUGUCACUUAUAGAUGGAUCCGCGCCGCAUUAGCUAGUUGGUAAGGUAACGGCUUACCAAGGCAACGAUGCGUAGCCGACCUGAGAGGGUGAUCGGCCACACUGGAACUGAGACACGGUCCAGACUCCUACGGGAGGCAGCAGUAGGGAAUCUUCCGCAAUGGGCGAAAGCCUGACGGAGCAACGCCGCGUGAGUGAUGAAGGUCUUCGGAUCGUAAAACUCUGUUAUUAGGGAAGAACAAAUGUGUAAGUAACUAUGCACGUCUUGACGGUACCUAAGCAGAAAGCCACGGCUAACUACGU
rnacentral:rRNA from 1 species